GAGGGUAUAGCUCAAGUGGUAGAGCACACGCUUAGCAUGUAAAAGGUCCUGGGUUCAAUCCCCAGUACCUCCU
rnacentral:tRNA from 1 species